GAUAAACGUAUCGCCUCCUUCUUCAGGAUAGAAAAAUCCGCGAACGAGAAACCAGCGUGAGCAGGUGGCAGCAGACUGCUGCCGAAACUUACGUUCACACAAGGUGUACACCGUCUACACAGUGUCACAUCUCAGAUGACGGCAUUCUUCAUAGUCACCGCCGUGAAACAUGUUUGCGAAACUUUGGAAAGUGGGGAAAUUGAAGAAAAUCACAUAGCCCUGAAGCUUCAAAUACGGGACCUGCAGGGCCAGCAGGCUGGAAGUUCGAACUAUAACCUCCAUGCACCUCUUUAUUUUUCAGCAUUGAUUGCCUGCUCCUUUGAGGUGCAGAACACAAGGAUGUUGCUUCCAGUGGCUUCUCUGCUCUCCAAAAGAAUACAGCAAUACAUGGGGAAACAUUUAUUAUCAACUACUGCAACCCCACUGGAAGCUAUUGCUGAUGAUUUUUACAACUGUUCCGAAGUAGAGGGAAGAAAUUUUCUGCAAAGCUUGUCACACCUACUCUUUCAAGCUGCAAUGAUUGACAACCACUUCAUCUCAAGAUGACAUUUGUGUCAUAGCCCUGUUCCUUCGAGUCUCGUUGACCAGAUACUCUUCUAAAUGGGUUCCACCAGUGCCCAUGAUGUGUAGCCAUCACGACAAGGACCGUAACAGAUCCAGCAACAUCAGAGGACACAGUACAACAGCGAGACCUCCAAAAAGUGACAAGUGCAAUCAAU